AAAGCCUCCUUCCCAUUCCCGUCUCCUCCCCAGUCAGGUGCUGAGGAGUAUGGGCUGACUGUGCCCUCAGAUAUGUCUAACUUGGGGGUGGUUCUUGGCUCCCUCUUUUUGGAAUUAAGGAAGUGCAAGGAGACCGGGCAUGAGCACACCAACCCCUGAAUUCCCUUCCUGACCUCUGCCUCCUCCCAGGCCUCCUGUGUCCCUGGAGGCGCUGCUGAUGGGGCAGGGGUUUCUUGGUCACUGCGGGAGGAGACUGAGGAGGUGAGUCUACUCAUCUGGUCCCUGAUUCCUGUCAUAUCGGCCCCCAGCGGUGCCUGCUUCCUGCCUGCUUCCUUCUCUGCAUCCCCCUCCACAUUUCUCUUCCUAGCUGCUUGAUUCCUGGACCUUCAGGAUUUCAAGAAGAUGCCGCUACCUGGGAAGCCCCUGGGACUUUUUAACAGAAACUUACCCGAUUGGAGCAUGACUUAAAGAGACCAGAAAGGGAAGUACCUACUUUAUGGUUGGCACAAUGCCAGGGGCUUCACAUUCGUUAACUCAUUAGCUCAUUUGAUCCUCACAAGAACCCUAUUCUUCUUCUUCAUUAACAGAAGAAAUGGGGGCUUGAGAAGGCCUAAGCAACUUGCUCAAGGUCGUGUGGUAUAAGAGGCAGAGGUGAACUUUGAUAUCAGGAUUGUAGGACUCAAGGUCUGUACUGGAUCCGCUGUUUGGAGACAGAAACAGAAAAAGUUUGCCUACCCUGCUCUGCAAGCCUGUCUGCACCUCGCUCAGUUUCCUCAUCUAUGAAAUGCGAGGCCUGAGUUAGAUGCCACAAAGGAGUGAAGUGCUCAACAUCUAUCAAGGUACCUUGCUGCAAAUGCCAAACACUUGGAUGAAAGCCUGGAUGAAGUCUCCUCCAGCUACCCUGGGAAGUGCUCUCUGGCCUAUGGUAACCUACAGGUGGAACUUGAGGUGUGAUGUGCCACCUGGGCUUGGUAAACAGCCCCUCCUUAUGUGUAUAUACCACAUUUUCUAUAUCCACACAUGCAGGUGGACAUUUAGACUGCUUCCUCAUCUUGGCUAUUGUGAAUAACAUUGCAGUGGAAUAUUACUCAGCCACAAAAAAGAAGGCAAUCUUUUCACAUUCAACAAAAUAAAUGAACCUUGAGAUCAUUAUGCUGAGUGAAACAAACCAAUAACAGAAAGACAAAUACUUCAUGAUCUCACUUAUAUGAGGCAUCUAAAGCAGUUAAACCCACAGAAGCAGAAUGUGGAGUGGUGGUUACCAGGACCUGGGAGGAGGGGGAAAUGGAGAGUUACUAUUCAAGGAGAAUUGAUGUUCAUAGAGUCAGUCAUGCAAGAUGAGAGAGUUCCAGAGACGUAGAUCAUUGUGCUUAGUGUUAAUGAUAAUGUAUUGUACACAUAAAAUUUUGGUGAAGAGGGCAGAUUUCAUGUUAUGUGUGUUUUUCAUAAUAAAAUAGUUUCUAAAGGAAUUAAAACUAUCCCACACUAUACCCCUCUGGCCCCAGGAUUCUUCUUCCCUUAGUUCUUUCUGCCCAGAACCACCUGAAGACUGGCAGCUGAGUGUUCUGAAAAAAGCUCUAAGCUUGGGGGAGGGAGAUCCAGGUUUCUUGACUGUACUUCUUAUUGACUGUGUGAUGCGUGCAAAAUACUUAAACUCCUUUCUCCACGUUUCCUUAUCUUUGAAAAUGGAGCACAUAGAAAUACCAGUCUUGGCUACCCUGCAGAGUUUCUGGGAAAAUCUAAUGAGCUCAUGUUUGAGGAAGCGCAUUGUGAAUAAUAAAACACGAUACAGG
rnacentral:lncRNA from 1 species